rnacentral:piRNA from 1 species
UGCAGGGCCUAAGGCCGUUUGGAUGA